rnacentral:rRNA from 1 species
UACGGGGGGGGCAAGCGUUGUUCGGAAUUACUGGGCGUAAAGGGCUCGUAGGUGGCCAACUAAGUCAGACGUGAAAUCCCCAGGCUCAACUUGGGAACUGCGUCUGAUACUGGAUGGCUUGAAUUCGGGAGAGGGAUGCAGAAUUCCAGGUGUAGCGGUGAAAUGCGUAGAUAUCUGGAGGAAUACCGGUGGCGAAGGCGGCAUCCUGGACCGACAUUGACGCUGAACGGCGAAAGCUAGGGGAGCAAACGGG